UACGGUAGGGUGCGAGCGUUGUCCGGAAUUAUUGGGCGUAAAGAGCUUGUAGGCGGUUUGUCGCGUCUGCUGUGAAAAUCCGGGGCUCAACCCCGGACUUGCAGUGGGUACGGGCAGACUAGAGUGCGGUAGGGGAGACUGGAAUUCCUGGUGUAGCGGUGAAAUGCGCAGAUAUCAGGAGGAACACCGGUGGCGAAGGCGGGUCUCUGGACAGUUCCUGACGCUGAGGCACGAAGGCCAGGGAGCAAACGGG
rnacentral:rRNA from 1 species